CAACUACUCCCUCUGUCCCAAAUUUCUUGUCUUAGAUUUGUCUAGAUACUGAUGUAUCUAAUACUAAAAUGUAACUUGAUACAUCCGUAUCUAGACAAAUCUAAGACAAGAAUUUUGGGACGGAGGGAGUACUUU
rnacentral:pre_miRNA from 1 species